AGCUCCGCAAGUGUAUUCCUAUACUGUUGCGUUUAAAUAGCUCGUAGUUGGAUCUGCGUGUUUAGCGCGCGGUGUUGCUUCUCGUAACUACUGCGACGCGACACAGAGUGCCAAAUACUCGUUAGAGUAGAUGGCCAGUUUACUUUGAACAAAUCAGAGUGCUCAAGACGGGCGUUUCGCUCGGAUGUUCUUGCAUGGAAUAAUGGAAUAGGACCGCGCGUUCUAUUGUGUUGGUUUUCGGGACGCGGGUAAUGAUUAAGAGGGACAGACGGGGGCAUUUGUACUGCGACGUGAGAGGUGAAAUUCUUGGAUCGUCGCAAGACAGACUACUGCGAAAGCAUUUGCCAAGAAUGUUUUCA
rnacentral:rRNA from 1 species